UGUGCCCUCCCUGCAGCAAGGGGGCGCCACUCACCCUGUCAUUAUCUGCUAUUUCUAAGCUUCUCUCCACACGGAGGAGACAGGAGCAGCGGAGGCAGAGAGAAGCCCCGCCCACAGCAUGUCCGGACACACACUUCAAUCUAUGCAGCCCUUACUAUUUUGACAAAAAACCUCCACCUUUCGGUAUUCAAGAGCAACAGAGGCAUCUUGGAUUAUUAUAUGCAAAAGUACUAAUGAAGUACUAAAAGACUAACGAAUCUCCAGAAAGGGUACGCUUUAAGCCAAUGGCUAAAGUACAGGGAGCAGCACUGUGCAGAGGAAGAGUGGCCCUGACUAUACAGAUUGCAGUACUUGGACCCAGCCCUGUGAACAUGUGCUAGAAGCUAGACGGCAAUCAAAGCAUAAUUUCGAUGGACAGUGAUCAAAUCUAAAUUCUUCUGAUUCCAAAGCUGUAUUAUUUAAAACUGUAUUCAAGACACUGCAUAUCUCUGCAAAAUGAGUUAUGUUUGCAAGUUGUUUCCAGACCUCCUAGCUUCAUGGGUCUCAUUCCUGUGCUUUUGAUACAUGGACAGCUUUA